rnacentral:rRNA from 1 species
AGAGUUUGAUCGGUUCACUGAACGCUGGCGGGACGUUUUCAUGCAAGUCGAACGGCAGCACGGACUUCGGUCUGGUGGCGAGUAGCGAACGGAGUAAUGUAUCGGAACGUGUCAGUAGCGGGGGAUAACUACGCGAAAGGCAGCUAAUACCGCACACUGCCUCUUCGGGAAAGCGGGGACCUUCGCCUCGUUCAGAGCGGCCGAUAUUUGGAUUAGCUAGUUGGUGGGGCAACGGCUCACUAAGGCGACGAUCCGUAGCUGGUUUGAGGAGGACGACCAGCCACACUGGGACUGAGACGGCCCAGACUCCCGGCAUGGAGUGGUAGUGGGAAUUUUGGAUAAUGGGGAAACCCUGAUCCAGCCAUCUCGGCGUGUGCGAUGCAUACUUUCGGUUGCCACUUUGGCAGGAAGAAACGGCACUGAUACACACUGUGCAACUGACGGUAACUGGGCACAAGCACCUGGCACCACGUGCCAGCAGCCGUGUAAUACCGUAGGGUGCAAGCAAUCGGAAUUACUGGGCGUAAAAGCGUGCGCAGGCGGUUCGGAAAGAAAGAUGUGAAAUCCCAGAGCUUAACUUUGAACCACGCAACCGACGAGUGCCAGAGGAGGCGGGAAUUCGCGUAGCAGUGAUAGGUGCAGAUACGUGAGGAGCCCAACGAUGGCGGGCGCAGCCUCCCGGGGAUAACACUGACGUUCAUGCACGAAAGCGUGGGGAGCAAACAGGAUUAGAUACUCUGGUGAACCACGCCCCAAACGAUGUCAACUAGCUGUUAGCCUCGCUUGCAGCGCAGCUAAUGCGGAAGUUGACCGCCUGGGGAGUACGGUCGCAAGAUUAAAACUCAAAGGAAUUGAUUGGGACUGCACCAAGCGGUGGAUGAUGUGGAUUGACCAUGCAAUUCAAGAACCACUCACUCUUGACAUGUCUGGAAUCCCGAAGAGAUUUGGGAGGUGUUUCGCAGAGAAUCAGAAUUAUAGUGCCGGGCUAUUUGUCGUCAGCUCGUGUCGUGGAGAUAAGUUGGGUUAAGUCCGGCACCGAGCGCAACCCGGUCAUUAGUUGCCACGAAAGGGCACUCCCAUCGAGAUCGCCGGUGACAAAACUGGAGAAGGGUGUAGGACGUCAAGUCCUCACGUGGCCCUUAUGGUAGGGCCUUCACGUCAUACAAUGGUCGGACAGAGUCGCCAACCCGCGAGGGGGAGCCAAUCCUAGAACCCAGACGAACUGGACCGCAGUCUGCAACUCGACUGCGUGAAGUCGGAAUCGCUAGUAAUCGCGGAUCACGUCGCGGGUGAAUACGUUCCUGGUCUCGUACACCGCUCCGGUCAUGGUCAUGGGAGUGGGUUUUACCAGAAGUAGUUAGCCUGAACCGUAAGGAGGGAAGAUUAAUACGAGAUUCAUGACUGGGGUGAAGUCGUAAUGGUAUGCAA